rnacentral:lncRNA from 1 species
CUUUGAUCUCUGUUGCUUGCUUUGUUUUUCCUCAACAAAGUUAGCUUUGCUAUUUAUUCUCUUUUUUUGUUGGUAAUUCUUUUAUUAUGUGCAGGAAGGUUCAUGUAGUACAUGCUCUAGUUUGCUAUUUGGUCUCAUCCAAAAGAAUCAGACCCAAAAUCUGUAUUGAAACAGUCCGAGUUUGACAAGCUAGUAUAGUUUUAUUGGGUCAGUUUUAUUCCCUCUUUGCCUCAUUUGCUUUCAAAUCAGGAAGCAAUCUGAAGCCGCAUCUUUUUCCUCAAGAGCCUUCUGGGUUUGUAAUUUGCAAAGGUCCCCAAAAGCCAGGGCUCCUCUUUCCAUUUUUAACCAACCCCCAUUUUCAGCUUCAUUCUUUCUCUCUAUUUAUUUCCAUGGUACUGUCAAAAGUUUGUGUACAAACAUGAGAAAUAAUGGGUAUUACUGAAGGAUCACAUGGAAUUGAGUUGGACCGGAGGAUGUUGACUAUACUUCCAAACCCAAGCUGGUGAAAAGUCAGGGUCGUCAGAUAAACUACCUAAAAUUUAGCUAAAGGGUUUUUGCACCUUUCUGAUAUUUUCUUUCCUCUUUCAGGUAAGCACAAUUCACUUGGUCUUUCCACUAAAAUAUCUCUCAUUAGUACUACAGCUGCUUUUAACUUUGGCCAAAUACUUGUGCUACUUUGGUAGGUUGAAGCCAAGUAAUUAUGUUGGGUGUAUUAUCCAAGUUGCUGCUAUAUUGGGAAUGAGUGAGAAUGAAGAUGAGCAGCUCUAACAUCAUCACUUGUGGCCAAUUAGCUUAGUAAUAGUGACAAAAACAAAAGCCAAUUAUGUGAAGUGUAAAAAUCAAGCUUUUGGUGUAGUUCCACAAAUCAGAAAAUGGGAUUAAUCAGCUGAUGCCUCGUCAUAAUUGCUUACCCAGCUGAGCUUGUAUUUGAUGAAUGAAUAUAUAUGAAACCAAA